CUUCAGUGCUCUGAGAGUGUUUAUAGUGCUGUGAGUUUAACACUUCAUCACUGACACACACAACAAUCUUCAUCAACAUGACCUUCAUCAUCAUCUUCAUCUGGACUCUCACAACGUUUGCUCAAGAGUGUAGAGGACAGAUCAGCGUCACUCAGAGUCCCUCAACGACAGCAGCUCGACCAGGAGAAACAGUCAAGAUCAACUGUAGAACCAGCACAGAUGUGUAUGAAUAUAGUGCACCACAAUACUUUUUAAGCUGGUACUUACAGAAACCUGGAGAAGCUCCUAAACUCCUGAUUUACCGAACAUCAGACCGUUACACUGGAACUCCAUCUAGAUUCAGUGGCAAGAGUUCAUCUGCGACUGAUUUCACUCUGACCAUCAGUGGAGUCCAGACUGAAGAUGCUGGACAUUAUUACUGUCAGAGUUUCCACUGGCCGGGUAGCACUAGGCUGUUCACACAGUGA